rnacentral:rRNA from 1 species
AUUGAACGCUGGCGGCAUGCCUAAUACAUGCAAGUCGAACGAGUGGCGGACGGGUGAGUAAUUUCUGGGAACCUGCCUGACGGAGGGGGCUAACUACUGGAAACGGUAGCUACUACCGCAUACCAUCAGAUGUGCCCAGAUGGGAUUAGCUUGUUGGUGGGGUAACGGCUCACCAAGGCGACGAUCCCUAGCUGGUCUGAGAGGAUGACCAGCCACACUGGAACUGAGACACGGUCCAGACUCCUACGGGAGGCAGCAGUGGGGAAUAUUGCACAAUGGGCGCAAGCCUGAUGCAGCCAUGCCGCGUGUAUGAAGAAGGCCUUCGGAUUGUAAAGUACUGUCAGCGGAGAGGCGUUACCCGCAGAGGAAGCACCGGCUAACUCCGUGUCAGCAGCCGCGGUAAUAC